rnacentral:lncRNA from 1 species
AGGGAGCGGAGGCUGCGCGGCGGAGAGUAGAGAGCUAGAGGGUGAGAAGCGCUGGGCCGGACCAGAACUGUCUUAGCUUUUCCCUCUGCGGCUGCUCUGGUUGGUUACUUUGAGCCUGCCUCCUCAGCGCCGCAGGAGAGACUUAACAGCAAAAAUGACUGUGUCCUGAGUUCAGCCCCCACUGCUCUGGGAGCUUCCCCCUGGUUUCUGCACCUGAAGAAUGUCAUCCCAGCCGAAGGUUCUUAGGAGCGGGGAGCGACAAAGAAAAACAAAGAAAAGCAGACCUGAAAAUUGGGACCUGGGAGAAAUGUAAGACAUGUGCUUAAUUUGAGGCACAGACCAAAAGAAGCUGAGUCUGAGGGCCCUCUAAAAGUGUCCUCGUGCUUGGGCAGCUUACAUUCUUGGCGGCAGUAGUGUUAUGAAGAGGACCUUCGGAGCCAUUAACAGGAACUCUUUAAAAAAAUUUAAGAAACCUCCAAAAAUAUAUGCAAAAGAGGAGUCAAAGAAGAAAAAUAAGCAAACAGCAAUGAAAAAGGAAAGCAUAGACUGGAAGGGCAGAUAGGCAGAAAGGCAGGGGAACUCAAACCAAAAACAGGAAUCAUCCUUGCUAAUUAGUGCUGAGUGGAUCAGGGACUAACCAGAAUCAGGCAACAAGAAAAGAGACGAGUGCUCUAAACCAGUAUCAUGGCUCCAGUUCCUCUGACAAGGAUUCACAUGGGGUUGCAAUUCUGACUGUGCUGGUGAUGCUGGUUCCAGGUCCCUCAGGAACCCCUCCCCCAGUCUGGUCUGCCCUUGAACUCUAUACUGGCCCCAGGGUAUCCCAGGAUUGUCAGAAAGGCCUGGCCAGGAUUCACCUGGGAGAGGGAUCAGCAUCUCUGCAAAGUUGUUGGAUUGAAAGAACUUUCAUUUUGAGCUACAUCAUUGAAGAGCUUUAAAUCUGAAAAUAAGAAAGACGUUGAACCCUAUUACUCACAUCUCUUUGUCAUUUGAAGCAGAUCCCGAACCACUCAAAAGGACAAAACAAGGAAAUAGCAAUGAAAUUGGAUUCAGUGAAUGGGGUAAGGGUAUUAAGUGUCUGAAAUAUAAGAGAUAAAAAAAUUAGUUUUUACCUUUUUUUCUAUUUUCUAAAUGUUUUGGUGGCUAGAAUAAGAUAUACUUUGAACUCAAGAGCAAUAAAUGUUAAUAUAUUAAAAGUAGCUUUAUGAAAUAUGGAAAGUAUCUUUAUUUCAAAAUACUUCAAAGUAAUCAUCUGAAUAUUUAUCAGAAAUAUUAAGACAACUUAUUAAAUCCUGUAUUAAAAUGAUUGCUUAUUACUUUUUGUUUAUACUAGUCAGAAGUGAUUCUCUUCCACAUUUUAGAUUUUUCAGAGUAAAAAGGAUAUAAUUUUAGACUUUCAAUUGAAUAUAAACUGGGGUUUUUCCACACGAUUUGUGGACAUGGCUGUCUGAUGGUGACUCUUAGGUAUUUAUGCUAAAAAUGUUAUUUUGGGGAUCCUUGGGAAUGGACUCUGAUAUUUAUUUAUUUAUUUAUUUAUUUAUUUAUUUAUUUAUUUAUUUUGAGGC